GGCCGAGAUAGCCGAGAUAGCUCAGUCGGUAGAGCAGAGGACUGAAAAUC
rnacentral:tRNA from 1 species